rnacentral:tRNA from 1 species
UUCAAGAAAAUCAUYUUGACCGCAGUUAACUGUGGGAAUACUCAGGUAUCGUAAGAUGCAAGAGUUCGAAUCUCUUAGCAACCA